GGCUGAGUGGUCUAGUGGUAUGAUUCUCGCUUUGGGCUUACUUAUACGAUUUGCGAGAGGUCCCGGGUUCAAUCCCCGGCUCAGCCC